UACAGAGGGUGCAAGCGUUAAUCGGAAUUACUGGGCGUAAAGCGUGCGUAGGUGGUUUGUUAAGUCAGGUGUGAAAUCCUGGGGCUCAACCUCAGAAUUGCGCUUGAUACUGGCAGACUCGAGUGUGGUAGAGGAUAGUGGAAUUCCCGGUGUAGCGGUGAAAUGCGUAGAUAUCGGGAGGAACAUCAGUGGCGAAGGCGGCUAUCUGGACCAACACUGACACUGAGGUACGAAAGCGUGGGUAGCAAAC
rnacentral:rRNA from 1 species